ACCCUAGAAAAUAGCUCAGUCAGUAGAGCAUAAGACUCUUAGCCUCAAGGCCGUGGGUUUGAGCCCCAGAUUGGGCA